UCACUCUAGAUGGGGAGCCAGCGGUGCCCUGUACUCGCAAUCCGCUAUAGCGGGAUCGAACACCUGGCGCGGCUUUGUUCUAUGAGGUGCUCUUCAAACACUGGUUUAGCAGGCAGAACCCGCGCGGCGCAGCCCCGCGAACCCGGUCAGGGCCGGAAGGCAGCAGCCGUAAACGGAAUGCUGCGGGUGAUGCGGAUCAUUUUGUCUGUGCCUUUGUUUGAUUCACUUUGCAGAACUUGUCAAUCCAGGUUGAGUGA
rnacentral:SRP_RNA from 2 species